UAAUUUAGAAAUUUGAAGCAAAAACAAGAAUGACUUCAGUUUUGUGAAACUAUACAUAAACAUAUCUGCAUGAAACAGAAACAGCAGACGAGCUGAACGAGAUGCAGAUUCACUCUCUGCCAGCAGGUGGAGCUUAAAGCGUUUCCUUGGUUACCGCUGUAAACAAAGUACUUACGAACACCGCAGCAGGUGGAGCUUAACGCGUUUCCUUGGUUACCGCUGUAAACAAAGCACUUACGAACACCGCAGCAGGUGGAGCUUAACGCGUUUCCUUGGUUACCGCUGUAAAUGAAGCAGCGCUGCACUUAUGAACUUUAAUAUGCAUUAUACAGAGGCAAGAUGAAAAGAAAAAAUACCAUCUAAACUUUUCUAAAGACAGUAAGUUCCCCUUAGAUAUAUAUUCAUAUAAACUCCUUCCCCUAAUUAAAUUUUAUAAAGCACUGGUGUAAAAUUAUAUAGAAAUAUGAAAUUAUUUAAUAUAUUUAAAAUCAUGAAAUGGCCAGUAGGUGAAAAUAAAUUACUUUCAUAAUGAGUUUGAAUAAUUCAUUGAAACGUUUCAUUCAAAAUGCUGAUUCAUUUAGGAAUGAAGCAAGUGAAC
ensembl:lncRNA